rnacentral:tmRNA from 1 species
GGGGGUGAAAAGGCAUCGACAGGUAAUAAAAGUAUUAGUUGCAUUGACUGGUUGAUCGGUAGGCCAGUAUAAAAACCGAUUAAAGUUCUAAGUGCCGAAAAGAAUUUCGCACUAGCCGCUUAGCGGCAGGGGGUUGCGUAAACCUUCUUACCCAAUUACGCUGACUCCGAUAAUCGGAUAGAGUUUUCUCACUUGAAGUAAAGGAGGGUGAUGGCAAUAAUUUGUCUGAUUCAGGUAAUUCCUGAUAGCUUUGUCUUUUGUGCGACUACAAUAGACUAACAAUGUAGAUACUAGUGUGGAUAUUAUACUGGACGCGGGUUCGAUUCCCGCCGCCUCCACUU